GAGACACCCUUCUGGGGCAAGACUUGCUUCAGUGGGGCUUUGGUGCUCACUGAGUCUGCCCCCUGAUUGUGUCCCU
rnacentral:pre_miRNA from 1 species